rnacentral:rRNA from 1 species
AGUGAACGCUGGCGGUAGGCCUAACACAUGCAAGUCGAACGGCAGCACAGUAAGAGCUUGCUCUUACGGGUGGCGAGUGGCGGACGGGUGAGGAAUACAUCGGAAUCUACUUUUUCGUGGGGGAUAACGUAGGGAAACUUACGCUAAUACCGCAUACGACCUACGGGUGAAAGCAGGGGAUCUUCGGACCUUGCGCGAUUGAAUGAGCCGAUGUCGGAUUAGCUAGUUGGCGGGGUAAAGGCCCACCAAGGCGACGAUCCGUAGCUGGUCUGAGAGGAUGAUCAGCCACACUGGAACUGAGACACGGUCCAGACUCCUACGGGAGGCAGCAGCGGGGAAUAUUGGACAAUGGGCGCAAGCCUGAUCCAGCCAUACCGCGUGGGUGAAGAAGGCCUUCGGGUUGUAAAGCCCUUUUGUUGGGAAAGAAAAGCAGCAGGUUAAUACCCCGCUGUUCUGACGGUACCCAAAGAGUAAGCACCGGCUAACUUCGUG